GUGUUUAAUCCAAUUUCCAACUAGAAAACUUAGAUCAUCCCAUUUUAAUAGGAUAAUAAUUUUAAGUGAACACUAAAUAUGAUGAUCUAUGAACGAGCUACACAAUAAAUGUCCCAAUUUUUUUAUUCUAAACCGGUUACAUAUAUAUCCCCAACAAAAUUGAACUAAACACAAUAUAUGAACACUAAUCUGUACAUUCACGAAAUCUAAUUGUUAUUUUACAUCUCAUAUAUUUUAUAUACAUGGAAAUUAUUCUCUAGGAAAAAUUAUGCAUGUUUAGUAUACUAAAAAUAAUCUGGUUUAUUUAAUAUAUUGUCUUAUAAAUUCUCAGUUAUGAACUUAUGGUAUAU
rnacentral:lncRNA from 1 species